AGCCCCUGGCAGUGGACAAAGAGACACCUUGUUAGUAGUGUUGUUCAUAUAUCAGUUAGGGGCAGGGGAGCUGGCUGUCCUUUGCUCAUCCUAGCUUGAUGCUUGGCUUGGUAGACAAAGCUAUUCUAUGCCUGGGACUCAAAA